UCCCCUUCUCUACAUAUAAACCAAGCUCUCUCUCUCUCUCUCUCUCUCUCUCUCUCUCUCUCUCUUCUCAUGACCGGCCAUUGCCGCCACUGGCCGAUCUCCUCUUCCACAGCUCUGCAAGCCAAGUCCUUGCGCCAUCAUGUUUGCCUCGACGAGGUGAACCCAUUUUUCCCUUUUCCCCUCUCUUUUAGCCCCCACAACAAGCCACCACCGCCACUCCUUUUGUUGCCACGGUCGAGCUCUUGUCGUCGCCGUUUCGGCCUUCUCCUUCACUUUCUCCGCCAGCCACCGCACUCCCCGGAUGCUUUGUGCUCGGGAACACCACCCGCCGCCGGCGUCGCCAUCUUCCAGCCGCCGGAAAACCGGCGCCCCUCCUCUCCUUCUCCUCUGCUGCUCGUGCUGGAAAGAGGAGAAAAGAAGGAAGAGACGGGAGGAAGAAGGAGAAAAAGAAAAAGAAAAGAUACUGACAGAGUCUAUUUGGAGUUUUUGCCGAAGCUGGGAGUUCAAUCACAUAAGUUAGUUUCCUUUAAAACUAGUCUUCAAGUCUAGUAUAGUUAGACGGUUUAAUUCUAUAGUAAAACGGCAGAAUUGGGUCACAGUAUAGCUUCUGCUGUAAUAGUUAGCCACAAAUUUGUAAAUGUCCUAUUAUUUUAUAUAAAUAUAUCUCCUUUGGAGUCUUGACCAAAUGUAUGCGAUAAAGAUCCAGAUUGUUGAACCUGUAUCAAUCUACCGAUUCAGGGCUUGAUACAGUUAAAUAUGUCGGUUUCUGAAUCAUUAGUUUUGGGACCCAACACCUAGGCCCAAUUCCGCACCUGGGGUGCGACCACCUUGGACCUCCAUCCUAUUUAGAUUUACACGAUUAGUGGUUGGAACAUAUUAUUGUACGGGAAAUCUUGACAUUUAAACCUUUUAUAAAACUUAUUUUUCAAAUAAACCUUAAAAAACUACGUAUAUAAAAGUAGAUCCUGACAGAUGGCACUAACGGCAACUCUAAAGAAGUGGUGGGUUCCAUUUUACAACGUGAUGUACACCCUCCGUUUUAUAUUAUAAGUUGAUUUGAUUUUUUUUCUA